GAUCGCCUGGGAUGUUUGCCAGCAGGCUUAUGUCCCUGAGCCGAUGCUUUUUACUAAGGGGUUCACUGAAUGACUAUUGCGCAAGCUCAGCUUGUACUGAGAAGCCUACGGUCACUAUUUGCGCCCCGCCUUGAACCAAUGGGUUCAAGGGCUACAGCCAGCAGCGGCAUCCUGGGUGAUCA
rnacentral:other from 1 species